CCUAACUCGCUCCAACAGUGAAAAAAGGUCACAGACCUGAUCACAUCAAGAAAAAAGAAAAAAUCCUUGAAGUGCUUGGUUGGUUUAUUACCUCACCCCACAAUCUAUUUCUCCCUUACUUCUGCGAAAUCCCAGCAUAUUCUUAAUUCCAUACAUAAAAUGUUCAAAGAAUUCUCCUUCGUCUUGAGAGUGAAUCUGUGGGCCACAUAAGCUUUCUGCCAGCUCUCUCACCAGGUCUUCCCUUCGAAUUUUUAACGCCGUAUCUCGUUCAUCAUUUUUUACGAGUGAUAGACUUCCAGCAAUGGCGGAGGGAGGACAGCAAGGCCCAGGGAAUGGACCUAAUGCUCCUAACCAGGGAGUAAAUGGCGAUUGGCGAGUAACGUUCCAGCCAGCACUCAGAAAUAAUAAUGCUGUUAGACUAAUUGAUGCUAUCCAUCCAUUGGGUCCCCAUGAUGACCCAGAAAGCAUCGCUUUUGUUUAUAUAUGCAACUAUGCCAGAAGAAUUGAAACAGUAAUUUUUGAAAUGGCGCGUAGUGAGGACCAUUAUGACCAAUUGAUUCAAAAUAUGACUCACAUUUUCGCAUCGUCGCGGGAAACUCAAGAAGGUCAAGACGAACAAAUAUUAGCAUUACAAGACGAAGGACAAGAAUGAGCUAAAUGAAAUAAAAAAG